rnacentral:rRNA from 1 species
CAGCCGCCGCGGUAAUACGUAGGGCGCAAGCGUUGUCCGGAAUUAUUGGGCGUAAAGAGCUCGUAGGCGGUCUGUCGCGUCUGGUGUGAAAUCCCGAGGCUCAACCUCGGGCUUGCAUCGGGUACGGGCAGACUAGAGUGCGGUAGGGGAGACUGGAAUUCCUGGUGUAGCGGUGGAAUGCGCAGAUAUCAGGAGGAACACCGAUGGCGAAGGCAGGUCUCUGGGCCGCAACUGACGCUGAGGAGCGAAAGCAUGGGGAGCGAACAGGAUUAGAGACCCCUGUAGUCCCUGUCUCUUAUAC